GCCGGAAUCGGGACUGCACUGCGAUUGGAGGGUUCUGGGCCGGCGCGAGGGCCUGAGUGAAGUUGGUGCCAGUCUGUGUGCCCCGGUCUUGGUAGGCUUCCGGAUCCGUUCUAGGGUGAUAUCUGGGUCCUGUCUCCGGAUUCCCAGGCGUCCUCGGUGUCCUGCAGGCGUCGCGUGUAAGAAUCCCCUGGUCAUUGUCCUUCUGCCCACCCCAACCUGUGAACAUGCUUGUCCGCUUUUCCCUCGCUGUCCUCUUCUAAGCCCUCCGUCCUCUGCUGCCUCCCAGUCGUCUCAAGGUUCAGGAAGGGACCCUGCCGCCCCGGGCUUAUCCGUCCUCAGUGAUGAGGUUUUUCGGGUGAUGGUAGGGGGGUUCAUUGGGUCCGGAGCCCAAUGACCAAGAAAGAAUUUUCGAAGACGCUUUUAGUGCAAAUAGAUGAUUUUAUUAAUUCACGGGGACAGGACGGGACCGUGAGGAAAGACAGAUUAUAUAUUAGGGAGUUGGAAGAGGUAAAGUCCAGGGGAAGGUUCCAAUGAGAUUUUCAUAUACUGAAGAAGAUCACAGGAUUUGGGAGGCCUAGCUAUUGUCAAGCUAAGGUUGUUUUUCCCUCUAGCAAAGCAUUAGCAUUAAGACAGUAGGGAGUUGCUGGAGAAAUGUUUGGCUAUGCCAGCCUCAAGUAAUUGUCAACAGGCUGCAGGUUAUGAGGAAAUUUAAUCCUAUGCCCCAUUUCCUGCCUUUGUUUCCCAUAUCUCUCAUGGAUGUCCUCCUACCCAAUGCCCUGGGCAUCAGGAAACCCUGCUCCACUCCCUAGGGUUGCUGUGGAGCAUUCCUCUCUCUCAUCACCCCAGACACAAUGCCCUUGUUCUCCCCUUCCCUCUAAUGCCUCUACAUCUGCAACAUUCAGCCCUUUGGGGGCCUCCAUCCAGGGGCCCCAAACUCCCUUUGUUCUAUCAGGACCCUCCUUCCCCAGUUUACCCGGGACUAUAAAUUCUCCCCCACAACGCUGGUCUUUUUCUCCUUCUUUCCUCCUCCCUCCUUUCUUGGUACACCCAAAUAAGGAACAAGCUUUGGGCGCCUGGGUGUCUCAGUAGGUGGAGCGUCCUACUCUUGAUUUCUCUCAGGUCUUGGUGCCAUAGUCCUAAGAUUGAACUCCACCUCUGCGUGUCAGCAUAGAGCCUGCAAGGAUUCUGUCCCUCUUUCUGCCCCUCCUUUGUUCACCCACUUGUGCUCUCUCGCUCUUUCAAAAACAAACAAACAAAAAAACUAACUCUGCACGUUCCACAACUGUAUCUUCUGUACCUGCACUAGCUUUCCAGAACUCCAGCACCCAUGCUCCUCAAGAUGUUCAUUGGUAAUACAUUAAGAGAAAAAAAGAGAGAGCAGCUAUCAAACAGGAACUCUCACCACUUCUAGCAACAUGGGAUCUGCACCUGUAUCUCUUCUGCCUCUGUGGAAUAAGGGACCUGAUCUCACUUGAGGCCAGGCCCAUCACCUGGAUCCUGUGCCCAUCUUCUGGAGGAAAGGUAAGCCUUUGCAAUGAUCCCCAAUUGUCACCUGUCCAUUUGUAUCUCGAUCACCUGUUAUCUGCGAGCAUCCUCCUAUUUAUCAACCCUAUUAUACGAUGAACUAAAGCAUAAAGCCAUCCCUGAUCCCAUAUUUUCCUGAGACACAGCCUGCCACAUUUCCCUUGCUGCAAACAGCAAGUCCCCCUUAUUCUGUAACCAUUUUCCUUGUUACCCACCUCAAUCCUAUUUUGUCAGCUUGCCUCCCAAAAGAAAAUAUUGGUCAAGGCCAGUGAUCUUCAUAUCGCUAAGCUCUAUAAUAAUGUCCUCUCCUGAAAUACCUGUAUCUCUCACAUACCUUUGGUACAUGUCAUAAUUGCCUCGGUUUUUAUCUAUCCCUCCCUCCCUUUCUUCAAUUUUUUAUUUUUGUGUAUUUGACAAUUUACUAUCUGGGCAUUGCUUCUCCAAACCCAUUGGCCACUGUGCUCCUUGUCAGUGUUUAUUGCUCACUCCCUAUUCCACAGGGCUUUUAACAGGGCCCUUCCCAUCUACACUCUCUCUGUGGGUUGUUUCAUCCUUGGUGCCAGCACAGAGCAUGGACACAAUGGGACCUCCCACGUUCGUACCUCAUGCAUCAACCUGUCCCCUGAGAUCCACAUUUGUCUGUGUCUUUGCUGGAUGACCAGAAGGGAGCAGACACUUAACAUGUCCCAAGCACGCCUCUUCAUGUGACAUGUUCCUUUGGUCUCCACUGCAACCCAGCACCACGUCCUCUGGAUUCGAUCUUCUGAAAACAUCCUGUAUCCAUCCCGUUCUGUGCUCAUCUGCUGCUACUGUUUUCGUAUCCAACUAAUCUGCUCAUCUCUUGUCUUCACGGCAGUACCUCUGGCCUACUCCUGUUCCUCGCACAUGCUUCUUCCCUCCUUAGGACACUGGUGAUCACAGUUGUCUCUGCCUGGAAGAGUCUCUCCCUGGAUCCUUACACGGUGGGUUCCUUCUAACCUUCUGGUUUCUGCUCCAUUAUUGCCUCCUCAGAGAGGCUCUCCGUGACCACCUUGUGUAAAGUAGGUUGUUCCUGGCCUAGGACCUGGGUUAUUUCCUUCCUAACACUUAGCUCACUAACUUCUUUGUUCAUUGGUUGGUUGGUUGGUAUUCUCUUACUCCCCAGAUAAGUGCUGCGUGACCAGCUUGUACAAGAGCACCACACACCUAUUAAGAGAGGCUCUCAUUAAUGUUAUGGAAUGCCGAAUAAAAGGUCACGUGACACCUGUUGUUGCUUUGUUGUGGGUUACUGAGGGGUAGGUAUCACUGGGGUGGGGGAGGGUUCCUGGAUAAUCUCCCUUUAAACCCACAGGAACACGUGUGUGCCCCCAUGGUAGCUCCUGCAGGUUUUGAGGUGUUUGUGUUAAAGACAAGGUAUACCUUCCUUUAAAGUGGCUAAAUUAGUUCACUGCUAGGUAAAAUGACACGUGCAUGAUAAAUGAGAGGGAGAACGAGAAGAUGUUAGCUCAUGGUAAGGUCACGUAGGGUGGGCAGCAGUGCUGUCUGGACUUCAUCUAGUAAGUUCUCUGGCUGCAUGGCAACAGAAAUGUUCCUUAGUCUCUGUGUGACUUGGUUUCUCCAUCUGCACUAAGGGCAGUGAAGGCAUGUGCCCAUACUGUGACUGAGACUGUCUAUUCUCAGAACAGGGCUGGCACCGGGAGCUCUCAAAAGGAGUUUGAUGCAUCAUUGCUGUGCGUGUGUGAGCGCGACUGCCUGUGGGAGAAUCAGGAGCCUGAGAAGAGCUGCUGGAGGCCGGAAUGCUCCCACCUGUCUUGUCUUGAUGGAACNUUUUUUUUUUUUUUUGCUAACUUCUCCAGUCCAGCUUCUAUCAGCCUGCCCCCCAAAUGAAAACAGCUGUCAAGGGCACCAGUGAAUCCCUUUGAUGAUGUCCUCUCCUCAACCUACUGUACCUCUCAGAUAGCUCUGGUACACUUAACAAUUGCCUGGUUCUUGAAAAUGUCCCUCCCUCCCUUUCUUCUAAUUUGUAUUUUGGCCUAUUUGAAAAUUUACUCUUUGGGUGAUGUUCUCCCAACCCCAGUGGCCACUGUGCUCCUUGUCAGUGUUUAUUGCUCACUCCCUAUUCCACAGGGCUUUUAACAGGGCCCUUCCCAUCUACACUCUCUCUGUGGGUUGUUUCAUCCUUGGUGCCAGCACAGAGCAUGGACACAAUGGGACCUCCCACGUUCGUACCUCAUGCAUCAACCUGUCCCCUGAGAUCCACAUUUGUCUGUGUCUUUGCUGGAUGACCAGAAGGGAGCAGACACUUAACAUGUCCCAAGCACGCCUCUUCAUGUGACAUGUUCCUUUGGUCUCCACUGCAACCCAGCACCACGUCCUCUGGAUUCGAUCUUCUGAAAACAUCCUGUAUCCAUCCCGUUCUGUGCUCAUCUGCUGCUACUGUUUUCGUAUCCAACUAAUCUGCUCAUCUCUUGUCUUCACGGCAGUACCUCUGGCCUACUCCUGUUCCUCGCACAUGCUUCUUCCCUCCUUAGGACACUGGUGAUCACAGUUGUCUCUGCCUGGAAGAGUCUCUCCCUGGAUCCUUACACGGUGGGUUCCUUCUAACCUUCUGGUUUCUGCUCCAUUAUUGCCUCCUCAGAGAGGCUCUCCGUGACCACCUUGUGUAAAGUAGGUUGUUCCUGGCCUAGGACCUGGGUUAUUUCCUUCCUAACACUUAGCUCACUAACUUCUUUGUUCAUUGGUUGGUUGGUUGGUAUUCUCUUACUCCCCAGAUAAGUGCUGCGUGACCAGCUUGUACAAGAGCACCACACACCUAUUAAGAGAGGCUCUCAUUAAUGUUAUGGAAUGCCGAAUAAAAGGUCACGUGACACCUGUUGUUGCUUUGUUGUGGGUUACUGAGGGGUAGGUAUCACUGGGGUGGGGGAGGGUUCCUGGAUAAUCUCCCUUUAAACCCACAGGAACACGUGUGUGCCCCCAUGGUAGCUCCUGCAGGUUUUGAGGUGUUUGUGUUAAAGACAAGGUAUACCUUCCUUUAAAGUGGCUAAAUUAGUUCACUGCUAGGUAAAAUGACACGUGCAUGAUAAAUGAGAGGGAGAACGAGAAGAUGUUAGCUCAUGGUAAGGUCACGUAGGGUGGGCAGCAGUGCUGUCUGGACUUCAUCUAGUAAGUUCUCUGGCUGCAUGGCAACAGAAAUGUUCCUUAGUCUCUGUGUGACUUGGUUUCUCCAUCUGCACUAAGGGCAGUGAAGGCAUGUGCCCAUACUGUGACUGAGACUGUCUAUUCUCAGAACAGGGCUGGCACCGGGAGCUCUCAAAAGGAGUUUGAUGCAUCAUUGCUGUGCGUGUGUGAGCGCGACUGCCUGUGGGAGAAUCAGGAGCCUGAGAAGAGCUGCUGGAGGCCGGAAUGCUCCCACCUGUCUUGUCUUGAUGGAACCCACAGCCAUGAACUAGCUAGGGAGAAACUGCCCUGGUUAGGACUGAGUCAGGAACCUGUACUGUAACUUCAGCAGGAAGGCUCCUGAAGGCAUUGUGCCCAGAAUGGGAAGUUCUCAAGGAAACAUUUUCAUUUCAGGGAUUUUAUGAUGAGGACUGGUGUGGUUUCAUUCUGUUUUCCAGCCAUGUAGACUGUGCUCCCCCCGUAAUGAUAGAAGGUAUUUCCUUUGAAAGAUUAAAUAUUGAGCCAAUCGCAGGGCUGAUCUCUUCAUUGGUUGUGUGGUAAAUAUGAGACUAGACAAAAGGUUGCCUAUCCCAAGACAUUCCUGCACUAGUCAGAGAGAAACAGGCAACUCAGCUUGCCCCCGAACUCCUGGAAGACAUCACAAGCUUUGAGUAAGUUCAUCUCUGCUUCCCGAGUAUCCUUCACAGUUACCAGGCGCUGGUGGGUGCAGAGGACUUGGGAGAGGAGCUCUCUGGGCUCCGACAUUACAAUUGCUGACAAACAUCUCCUAGGAACCUUAAAACAUGUUGUCUGUGGCACUUGUUGGGUAGAACACUGGGCGUUUUAGGAAACCAGUUUGACAAUAA
rnacentral:lncRNA from 1 species